rnacentral:tRNA from 1 species
GCCUUCGUAGUAUAGUGGUCAGCACGCUCGAUGCGUAUUAGAGAGGUUCGUGUUCGAGUCCCGGCGAGGGCA